GAUGAACGCUGGCGGCGUGCCUAAUACAUGCAAGUCGAGCGAACAGACGAGGGGCUUGCUCCUCUGACGUUAGCGGCGGACGGGUGAGUAACACGUGGAUAACCUACCUAUAAGACUGGGAUAACUUCGGGAAACCGGAGCUAAUACCGGAUAAUAUUUUGAACCGCAUGGUUCAAAAGUGAAAGACGGUUUUGCUGUCACUUAUAGAUGGAUCCGCGCCGCAUUAGCUAGUUGGUAAGGUAACGGCUUACCAAGGCAACGAUGCGUAGCCGACCUGAGAGGGUGAUCGGCCACACUGGAACUGAGACACGGUCCAGACUCCUACGGGAGGCAGCAGUAGGGAAUCUUCCGCAAUGGGCGAAAGCCUGACGGAGCAACGCCGCGUGAGUGAUGAAGGUCUUCGGAUCGUAAAACUCUGUUAUUAGGGAAGAACAAAUGUGUAAGUAACUAUGCACGUCUUGACGGUACCUAAUCAGAAAGCCACGGCUAACUACGUG
rnacentral:rRNA from 1 species